UCAAAUUUGCUGGGCAUUAUAGUCCAAUGCACUCGAGCAACAAGAUGAAGUCACUAUCCACGUUCCAGCAUGAUGCAACAUGUAUGGCUCUUUUAUUGGAUGGAAGUGCUGCCUUGGGUCUUGACUUGAGCUUUGUAACACAUGUAUUCUUAAUGGAGCCAAUCUGGGACAGAAGCAUGGAGGAACAAGUGAUUAGUCGUGCUCAUAGAAUGGGUGCUACUCGUCCCAUUCACGUGGAAACUUUAGCAAUGCGUGGUACAAUCGAAGAGCAAAUGUUGGAAUUCCUAAAGGAUGCUGA
rnacentral:misc_RNA from 1 species